AAUUUACCUGUGAUUUCCUUUGGACUUGAGCUAGCAAAAUUUAUCGGUUCCCGAUUUAGGGUUCUUUCUCGUUUCUCUCACAUCCUGAUUUAUCUCCCACUAUCUGUAGGUUCCCACUCUGAAUCAUUGCGUUGUUGGUGCUGUUUGUUUAUAACCUUUUGCCGUUGUCGAACUGAUCUACUUUUUGGAUUUUUUAUAAAUCGGCUUUUAGAUCAUCACACACACAUAUAUGUAUGUGUGCUUUGUUGAUUAUUGAUUUGUUGUUGUAAGUGUUGGAUACUCCAACAGAGGGAAACGAGAUUGGUUGGUGUAUAAAUUAUUGAUUUAUAUAUGGUCGCUGGUUGUUGGGAUUUUUGCAUUUGUGCUUUUUUGUGGUUGAGAUUUGGUGAAUUUGGUCGCGGAAAAGAAUGGAGGUUGAUUUCUACAGCAAUCCAGAUUAAUUUCAUUUGAUGUGAUGUGUUGUAGCUAUGAGCGAAGGAGAAUAGGUUUAAUUUAGUGUUUUUUCGUAACAACCAGCUGGAUUGAGUUGGUUUUGAUAAAUUUUGGGGGAAAUGAUGGAUAAAGGCAUUGAGCAUUUGAUAUCUGCUAGGAAGCUGUUGAAGGAGAGCUUAGAGAAAUCGAGAGCUUUAGGUUCGUCGUUGGAGAAGGUAGGGCCUAGAUUAGACGAGAUCAACCAAAGAUUACCAUCUAUGGAAGUAGCAAUUCGACCUAUUCGUGCUGAGAGUGAGGCUCUGAGCUCUGUUGGUGGUCAUAUAAAUAGAGCUGUAGUCCCUGCUGCAGCAGUUCUCAAGGUUUUUGAUGCCAUCCACGGCCUUGAGAAGUCGUUGUCCGACCCUCAGUCUAACUUGCCCGGGUACCUUAGCGUGCUCAAACGCCUUGAGGAGGCGUUGAGGUUUUUGGGGGAGAAUUGUGGCAUGGCUAUCCAGUGGCUGGGUGAUAUUGUGCAGUAUUUGGAGGAUCAUAAGGUGGCGGACACACGGUUCAUCUCAGGAUUAAAGAAGGCUUUGAAGAAUAUCCGGGAAUUGGAGACUGCUGAGGAGAAGGGCCAUCUUGAUGGUGGGUUGCUUGAUGUUGCUUUGGAUAGACUGGAAAGUGAGCUCCAGCGGCUGCUAACUGAGAAUAGUGUCCCGUUGCCUAUGUCCUCACCGGCCUUGCCUGGCGAACAGGCCAGCAUUGCCCCUUCACCUUUGCCCGUGGCCGUGAUUCAGAAGUUGCAUGCUAUAUUAGGGAGGUUAGCUGUGAAUGACAGGCUUGAGAAGUGUAUAUCCAUCUACGUGGAGGUCAGGAGCUCGAAUGUUAGAGCAAGUUUACGAGCUCUCAAUCUGGAUUAUCUUGAAAUAUCGGUGUCUGAGUUCAAUAAUGUCGCGAGCAUAGAGGGUUAUAUUGCUCAAUGGGGCAAGCAUUUGGAGUUUGCCAUGAAGCACCUCUUUGAGGCCGAAUACAAGCUCUGCCACGAUGUGUUUGAUCGGAUGGGACCAGACGUGUCCAAGAGCUGCUUCCCUAAGAUAGCUGCGCAGGCGGGGAUUCUCGCUUUCUUGCAGUUUGGCAGAACAGUGACUGAGAGUAAGAAGGAUCCCAUCAAGCUGUUGAAGCUUUUAGAUAUAUUUGCAUCACUAAAUAAACUUAGGUUGGAUUUCAACCGGCUUUUCGGUGGAGCUGCCUGUGCUGAGAUACAGAACAUGACUAGGGAUCUGAUCAAGAGAGUGAUCGAAGGCUCAUGUGAGAUUUUCUGGGAGCUUUUAGUCCAGGUCGAGCUGCAACGACAAACCCCGCCUCCUGCAGAUUGCAGCAUCCCAAGAGUAGUCACCUUCAUCACUGAUUAUUGUAACAAACUCCUUGGCGAUGAGUAUAAGCCGAUCCUCACUCAAGUUUUAGUCAUCGAGAGAAGCUGGAAGCACGAAAGUUUCCAAGAGCGGAUCCUCAUCACCGAGCUUCUGAAUCUAGUCAAAGCCAUCGAGCUCAACUUGGAGGCGUGGUCAAAGGGCUAUGAAGACGCAGUCCCUUCAUAUGUGUUCUUGAUGAACAACCAUUCACAUCUGUACAAGUAUCUAAAAGGGACGAAGCUAGGAGGCAUUGUGGGAGAGCCUUGGUUGAGCGAACACGACCAGUACAAGGAGUAUUACUCCGCUAUAUUUCUCAGAGAGAGCUGGGGCAAGCUUCCCACACAUUUAAGCAGGGAGGGUCUGAUCUUGUUCUCAGGGGGGCGUGCCACAGCUCGUAAUCUGGUGAAAGAGCGUCUGAAGGAAUUCAACGAAGCCUUUGAUGACAUGUAUGCAAAGCAGUCGAAAUGGGUUAUUCCUGACAAGGAUCUCCGCGAGAAAACAUGUCAGGCCAUAGUUCAAGCCAUUGUGCCUGUUUAUCGCAGCUAUAUGCAGAACUAUGGACCAUUGGUUGAGCAAGACCCUAGCACGAGUAAAUACGCCAAGUACACGGCUCAGUCUCUGGAGAAGAUGCUUCUCUCCCUUUUCCUUCCCAAGCUGCCCAAGCAAGUGAGUUUUCAGAUGAAGCAGGCAAGUGGGAAGUUCAGCAACGGGGCAGCGGAUCAGUAUCAGACGCCUCCAACGGUUAAAUGAUCAAACGCGCUGUGCAGAUAGAGAAUUUGACUUUGUAGACGCGCUAUUUAAGAUUCAAACGCUCCAGCAAGCGCCCUCACUUUGUUUGCCUUAUUCUCACGAAGCUUGUUUGCUGUCUCCUCGAUUACAUCGUUGGAAACUGGUGAGUCAUACUUCCCAUGUGUUUUAUCUUGCUGCCUCUGAGUAGCUGAGUUUUCUUGCUUCGUUUCAACUGCUGGCUCGGUUUCCUUAGACUCAACUGCAACCGCUGCUUGCUCCUCUGGUGCUACUUUGACCUCUUUCUCUUUAGCCUCUGCACGAGAAUUGUCUUCAAUUGUCUUGUUAUUGGCAGGUGACUCUGUAGAAGAUCCGGCAAUACGAACUGUUGGAUCUUCUCUUACUAAAUCAUCGAUGCCAUCAGCAGCUUCAUUGAGGAUUGACACGUUGUUCCUUUGUUGCUGGAUCACUACACCCACUCUCCUUCUUCGAGCCGAUGCUGCUUCUUCUCCCACUGCCCACAGACGAACUGGUGGAGAGGCGACGCUUUCCUUCUUCCUUCUCCACCGGUUUCCAUUUCUUAGCAGCAGCACCCACCACCUUAGGGGAAACCACGGCCUUGACUAGGCGCGAGGAGGCACGGCGGGCAGCACCAGCAGCGGCAGCAACAGCAGUUGGGACGCGCGUCUUAUGUGUAGGAGUUGCUGUCUUGCUAUCCAAGGAUCGUGUUCUGGUCUUUGCUGGCGUGCUUGGAGUGGCCGGGGAGGGUGGUUUCCUCGUCUGAGUCCUGGAAACACCGGCAGUAGCCUUGGAAACACCUGUAGUAAUAGCCUUGGAAACACCUGUAAUGGCCUUGGAAACACCGGAAGAAGCUGGGGCUUUCGACGCUACCGGCCUCGUCUCUUUUUGUGGUGCAGUUGAAACUUUUGGUUUGAGGGAGAUUUGAUUUACAACUCCUUUAAGCCUUGCUGCUCCUGUUUUUGGAGAAGGUGAUGCCUUCUCCUUGCCAGGGAGAGCAUCUCUUCUUCUUGUUGCCAUACAAUGAUUGGUAGUUCUUGAUGCCUACGUUUGGAAAUAUUCGCGUCGGUUGUGAAAUACGAGACAUAACAUGAACAAUGAUUCGAUUUAUGAUAAACAAAGAGAAUUCUUGGUUCA